rnacentral:rRNA from 1 species
AGAGUUUGAUCAUGGCUCAGGAUGAACGCUGGCUGUGUGCCUAAUACAUGCAUGUUGAACGAAGCUAAAAGUGCUUGCACUUUAAGACUUAGUAGCGAAUGGGUGAGUAACACGUACUUAACCUACCCCCAAGUUUGGGAUAACGUUUGGAAACGAACGCUAAUACCGAAUACGUAUUUUUAUCGCAUGAUAGAAAUAUAAAAGGAGCUUCGGCUUCGCUAGGGGAUGGGAGUGCGCUACAUUAGUUAGUUGGUAGGGUAAUGGCCUACCAAGACUAUGAUGUAUAGCGGGGCCGAGAGGCUGAUCCGCCACACUGGGACUGAGAUACGGCCCAGACUCCUACGGGAGGCAGCAGUAGGGAAUUUUCCACAAUGAACGAAAGUUUGAUGGAGCGACACAGCGUGCAGGAUGAAGGUCUUCGGAUCGUAAACUGCUGUUAUAAGGGAAGAAAAACUUUAGUAGGUAAUGACUAGAACUUGACGGUACCUUAUCAGAAAGCGACGGCUAACUAUGUGCCAGCGGCCGCGGUAAU